UUUACGAUGCUGCUACAUAUAUUUGAAAAUUUAUGAGAGAUACUUGAAUCAUCCAAGACACACAUCAACGAUUGCCUGUAGCAUAUUGAUAUUUUCGUUCUGCCAAAUGCUCAACAUACUCCACGGAUGUGAGAGACUCGUGCGCGUUAGCUUCAACAUACUAACUAGAACUGUGCAUUACUGUCGUCGCCAUCGCCGUCAUCGUUGUCAUCACCACUACCAGCCUCGAAGUUAAAGGCAGCCUAUUCCCGAGAAGCUCUUGGCGCAUUCGAGCAAACGAGCCGCGACAGUCGAGCGAAAUGCAAUUUCGAGGACGAGCGGCGGUAUGCCAGGGUUUGAAGGCAGAACACGAAAGGGGAAUGGUUUAAGAAGAAGAUGAGAAGAAGUGAGGAUCAGCGUGUCGUUUCGAGAGCUGCUCGAUACGUAAUCUUCGUCUUUUACCUAUUGCAAAAAGAAUCGCAGUACAGGAUGUAUUUUGUGGGUAAGCGUGACGGACGGCGAAGAAAAAAGAGAAUUUGUCACCAAUUUCCUAAGUAACUUCUGCUCUUCUGCUAUCGAAUCCGUUGCAGUUUCGUGUGCAGAUGUACGCUCGUGAGGAAGAGACAAGGAUUGGACUUAUUGUCAGGCGUAUGCAUGUGUAUUUGUACUAUUUAUCCAUGAUGAUACACGUAGUACUAUAUAAUUGCAGAAUGUAGAAUAAAAAGAAGAAAAAGUCUGCACUUUAUUUUUGGUUCUGAUUUAAAAGAAUCUUAUAUGUAUAUUUGGUGAUCCCGAGUAAUACCUAUCGCGACUGAAGCAUUAUUAAAAAACACAGCAUAUUAUGAUUU